UUCAAUAACAUCACAGAGAAAGAGAAGAGUGUGGGCCAAAUGAAUGAACGACAGAUGCAUGUCAUGGGUGUGCUGAGUAUUUUAGGGAGAGUUAUUAUUAGGAAAAGUCUCUACAAAUUGGGUCUUUUAUGCACUUUGUUUGUGUGAAAGCGUAUGGGAGCAGCCACGUCUGUCCGCUGGGGGAUAGAGGAGUCACUGCCAGCUGCCUGGAUGCAGGGGAACGGCCGCCAUCCACGAGGGGAGGAGGGGCUCACUGCCGGCCGCCUGGAACAGUGGAGCCGCUGCCAGGGGUGGAGGGACUCGCUACCGGCCGCCAGAACGCGGAGGCGUGUUCCAUCCGCCAGGGGUCGGAGGACUCGCUCCGGUCCGUCCGGGGAGGAGUGGCUGUCGUCUGCCAGAGAGUGGAGGAGUGGUCGAGGACCAGGCGACGGCGUGUCUGGGAACCAGCAAGCAAUUUUUUUCUCUCUCUCUCUCUCACUGUCGCUCUGCCUCUCUCUUUCCCUCUCACCUUUUCCCUCCCCUUGUCACACUCAGCUGCUGUGUGUGUUUAUGUUUGUGUCUUUAAGUUUUCAUUAAACAUUAUUUUGACUGUU